AAACUUGAGAGUUUGAUCAUGGCUCAGAACGUACGCUGGCGGCACGCCUAACACAUGCAAGUCGAACGAAGUAGCAAUACUUAGUGGCAGACGGGUGAGUAACAUGUAGGUAUCUGCCCUUUGGCCUGGAAUAACACGAGGAAACUUGUGCUAAUACCGGAUAAGUCUUUACGGAGAAAGCUUUAUGCACCAUUGGAUGAGCCUGCACUUGAUUAGUUUGUUGGUGGGGUAAUGGCCUACCAAGACUGUGAUCAAUAGCUGAUUUGAGAGGAUGAUCAGCCACAUUGGGACUGAGACACGGCCCAAACUCCUACGGGAGGCAGCAGUGGGGAAUCUUGCACAAUGGAGGAAACUCUGAUGCAGCGAUGCCGCGUGAGUGAAGAAGGCCUUUGGGUUGUAAAGCUCUUUCGUCGGGGAAGAAAAUGACUGUACCCGAAUAAGAAGGUCCGGCUAACUUCGUGCCAGCAGCCGCGGUAAUACGAAGGGACCUAGCGUAGUUCGGAAUUACUGGGCUUAAAGAGUUCGUAGGUGGUUGAAAAAGUUAGUGGUGAAAUCCCAGAGCUUAACUCUGGAACUGCCAUUAAAACUUUUCAGCUAGAGUAUGAUAGAGGAAAGCAGAAUUUCUAGUGUAGAGGUGAAAUUCGUAGAUAUUAGAAAGAAUACCAAUUGCGAAGGCAGCUUUCUGGAUCAUUACUGACACUGAGGAACGAAAGCAUGGGUAGCGAAGAGGAUUAGAUACCCUCGUAGUCCAUGCCGUAAACGAUGUGUGUUAGACGUUGGAAAUUUAUUUUCAGUGUCGCAGGGAAACCGAUAAACACACCGCCUGGGGAGUACGACCGCAAGGUUAAAACUCAAAUGAAUUGACGGGGACCCGCACAAGUAGUGGAGCAUGUGGUUUAAUUCGAAGAUACGCGCAGAACCUUACCAACACUUGACAUGUUCGUCGCGACUCUAAGAGAUUAGAGUUUUCGGUUCGGCCGGACGAAACACAGGUGCUGCAUGGCUGUCGUCAGCUCGUGUCGUGAGAUGUUGGGUUAAGUCCCGCAACGAGCGCAACCCUCACUUUUAGUUGCCAUCAUUAAGUUGGGCACUCUGAAAGAACUGCCAGUGAUAAGCUGGAGGAAGGUGGGGAUGACGUCAAGUCCUCAUGGCCCUUACGUGUUGGGCUACACACGUGCUACAAUGGUAUCUACAACAGGAAGCAAAACUGCGAAGUUAAGCAAAUCCCUAAAAGAUACCUCAGUUCGGAUUGCACUCUGCAACUCGAGUGCAUGAAGCUGGAAUUACUAGUAAUCGUGGAUCAGCGUGCCACGGUGAAUGCGUUCCCGGGUCUUGUACACACCGCCCGUCACACCAUGGGAGUUGGUUCUACCUUAAGGCAAGGUUUCAAACCCUUGACCACGGUAUAGUCAGCGACUGGGGUGAAGUCGUAACAAGGUAGCCGUAGGGGAACCUGCGGCUGGAUUACCUCCUUU
rnacentral:rRNA from 1 species